GAAUAAGAAGCGAAAUAUUGCAAUCAGUUUCGACCUGAAAAUUGGUAUAAUUUACCCUUAUUCAAUUA
rnacentral:tRNA from 1 species